AAGUCGUAACAAGGUUUCCGUAGGUGAACCUGCGGAAGGAUCAUUAACAAAUCAAUUAUACACUUGUUGAACUGUAACAUCCUGAUGGCGGCAUAUUGCUUGUCUUGUGAUGGUUUGAUUGCCUUGCUACUCGGUAUCGCCUGUCUCGUUGCCUCUCUCAUCAGAGGGGUGAUUGUUAUAGGUCUGAGAAGGGUAGCAGCAGUCAAUAUUUUACACAAUUCAUGCGCAAGUCACCAUUGGUAUUAUAAAACGCUUUAAUAUAUUUGACUAAGCUUUGACAUAUUUAAGGAAUAAUAUAAACAACUUUUAACAAUGGAUCUCUUGGCUCCUA
rnacentral:misc_RNA from 1 species